GAGAGCGGCGUACGGGUGCGUAACACGUGUGCAACCUGCCUUUAUCUGGGAGAUAGCCCUCCGAAAGGGGGAUUAAUAUUCCAUAAUAUAUUAAUUGGCAUCAAUUGAUAUUGAAAGCUCCGGCGGAUAGAGAUGGGCACGCGCAAGAUUAGAUAGUUGGUGAGGUAACGGCUCACCAAGUCUGCGAUCUUUAGGGGGCCUGAGAGGGUGAUCCCCCACACUGGUACUGAGACACGGACCAGACUCCUACGGGAGGCAGCAGUGAGGAAUAUUGGACAAUGGGUGCAAGCCUGAUCCAGCCAUCCCGCGUGAAGGAUUAAGGUCCUAUGGAUUGUAAACUUCUUUUAUACAGGGAUAAACCUCUUACGUGUAAGUAGCUGAAGGUACUGUAUGAAUAAGCACCGGCUAACUCCGUGCCAGCAGCCGCGGUAAU
rnacentral:rRNA from 1 species